rnacentral:rRNA from 1 species
CGAACGCUGGCGGCGUGCUUAACACAUGCAAGUCGAACGAUGAAGUUCCUUCGGGAAUGGAUUAGUGGCGAACGGGUGAGGAACACGUGAGAAACCUGCCUUUCAUUUUGGGAUAACUCCGGGAAACCGGGGCUAAAACCGAAUACUCCGUCUCGGCGGCAUCGCUGAGCCGGGAAAAAAUUUUGAUGAAAGAUGGUCUCGCGGCCUAUCAGCUAGUUGGUGAGGUAAUGGCUCACCAAGGCGACGACGGGUAGCCGGCCUGAGAGGGCGACCGGCCACACUGGGACUGAGACACGGCCCAGACUCCUACGGGAGGCAGCAGUGGGGAAUAUUGGGCAAUGGGCGCAAGCCUGACCCAGCGA